rnacentral:rRNA from 1 species
CGGGUGAGUAAUAUAUCGGAACGUACCCUGGAGUGGGGGAUAACGUAGCGAAAGUUACGCUAAUACCGCAUACGAUCUAAGGAUGAAAGUGGGGGAUCGCAAGACCUCAUGCUCCUGGAGCGGCCGAUAUCUGAUUAGCUAGUUGGUAGGGUAAAAGCCUACCAAGGCAUCGAUCAGUAGCUGGUCUGAGAGGACGACCAGCCACACUGGAACUGAGACACGGUCCAGACUCCUACGGGAGGCAGCAG